AUCGCUUCUCGGCCUUUUGGCUAAGAUCAAAGUGUAGUAUCUGUUCUUUUCAGCUUAAUAUCUGAAAGUUCCCGCAUCGCGGGACCAGUAUAUUAAACUGAUUUUUGUAAAACGACGGGAUGUUAGGGGCUCGCUCCACUUCCGUCACGGGUCGGCCCACAUAAA
rfam:Papilio xuthus contig17481, whole genome shotgun sequence.